AUUGAACGCUGGCGGCAGGCCUAACACAUGCAAGUCGGACGGUAGCACAGAGGAGCUUGCUCCUUGGGUGACGAGUGGCGGACGGGUGAGUAAUGUCUGGGAAACUGCCCGAUAGAGGGGGAUAACUACUGGAAACGGUAGCUAAUACCGCAUAACCUCGCAAGAGCAAAGUGGGGGACCUUCGGGCCUCACGCUAUCGGAUGUGCCCAGAUGGGAUUAGCUAGUAGGUGGGGUAAUGGCUCACCUAGGCAACGAUCCCUAGCUGGUCUGAGAGGAUGACCAGCCACACUGGAACUGAGACACGGUCCAGACUCCUACGGGAGGCAGCAGUGGGGAAUAUUGCACAAUGGGCGCAAGCCUGAUGCAGCCAUGCCGCGUGUAUGAAGAAGGCCUUCGGGUUGUAAAGUACUUUCAGCGGGGAGGAAGGCGGUGAGGUUAAUAACCUUACCGAUUGACGUUACCCGCAGAAGAAGCACCGGCUAACUCCGUGCCAGCAGCCGCGGUAAUACGGAGGGUGCAAGCGUUAAUCGGAAUUACUGGGCGUAAAGCGCACGCAGGCGGUCUGU
rnacentral:rRNA from 1 species